rnacentral:rRNA from 1 species
GCUGUCGUCAGCUCGUGUCGUGAGAUGUUGGGUUAAGUCCCGCAACGAGCGCAACCCCUGCCUUUAGUUGCCACCAGGUCAAGCUGAGCACUCUAAAGGGACUGCCGGUGAAAAACCGGAGGAAGGUGGGGAUGACGUCAAGUCCUCAUGGCCUUUAUGUCCAGGGCUACACACGUACUACAAUGGGCGGCACAAUGAGUCGCAAACCCGCGAAGGGGAGCCAAUCUCAAAAAACCGCUCUCAGUUCGGAUUGCAGUCUGCAACUUGACUGCAUGAAGCUGGAAUCGCUAGUAAUCGCUGAUCAGCAAGCAGCGGUGAAUACGUUCCCGGGCCUUGUACACACCGCCCGUCACAUCACGAAAGCCAGUUGUACUGUAACCGGCAAUUCAACCGCAAGGAGAUAGCCGUCCAAGGUAUG